ACUGCCUGCCUCACUGCUCUGCAACACCACCAGCUGCCGUAGAACUGCCUGCCUCACUGCCCUGCAACACCACCAGAGCUUUUGGAAAUUCGGCUCCUCUAUCUAGUCGGCACCUCCUGCUCCCUCCAGAUUCUUCAAGUAAGUUAUGAAUAAAGGGAUAUUCCUUGCUUUUCAUUGGCGGCAGGGGACUGAAAGGGAAUGGCUGUCUCCAUUUGAACACAAUGGACAGUCUGUGGGCUACAUUGGACGUGCGUUCACAGAGAAUUUGAAAAUCCUGACGCUGAAACGAUGAGUCCACUUUAACAGUUUCAAGUUGGGCGGCCAUUGAUGGGUAAAUCCAUUUAAUCACUAAGAGAAUCUCCGAGUUCAGGAUCAGGUAUUGUUUUAGUCGCGAUGCUUUGCACUGAGUCCAGGGAGGGUGAAUAGUCUUCUUGGUCUGCGGCCUGGUCAGCGCUUUGGGAAAUGUUUGGGUUCCUGUUAGUAUGGU